UACGUAGGGGGCAAGCGUUGUCCGGAUUUAUUGGGCGUAAAGCGCUCGCAGGUGGUCCGUUGCGUCGUGCGUGAAAGACCCCGGCUCAACUGGGGAGUGUCGUGCGAUACGGGCGGACUGGAGGCCAGUAGGGGGAUGCGGAAUUCCGGGUGAGUGGUGGAAUGCGUAGAGAUCCGGAGGAACACCAGCGGCGAAGGCGGCAUCCUGGACU
rnacentral:rRNA from 1 species